rnacentral:rRNA from 1 species
GCUUGCUGGGUGGAUUAGUGGCGAACGGGUGAGUAACACGUGAGCAACCUGCCCCUGACUCUGGGAUAAGCGCUGGAAACGGCGUCUAAUACUGGAUACGAACAAGAAUCGCAUGGUUACUUGUUGGAAAGAUUUUUUGGUUGGGGAUGGGCUCGCGGCCUAUCAGCUUGUUGGUGAGGUAAUGGCUCACCAAGGCGUCGACGGGUAGCCGGCCUGAGAGGGUGACCGGCCACACUGGGACUGAGACACGGCCCAGACUCCUACGGGAGGCAGCAGUGGGGAAUAUUGCACAAUGGGCGGAAGCCUGAUGCAGCAACGCCGCGUGAGGGAUGACGGCCUUCGGGUUGUAAACCUCUUUUAGCAGGGAAGAAGCGAGAGUGACGGUACCUGCAGAAAAAGCGCCGGCUAACUACGUGCCAGCAGCCGCGGUAAUACGUAGGGCGCAAGCGUUAUCCGGAAUUAUUGGGCGUAAAGAGCUCGUAGGCGGUUUGUCGCGUCUGCUGUGAAAUCCCGAGGCUCAACCUCGGGCCUGCAGUGGGUACGGGCAGACUAGAGUGCGGUAGGGGAGAUUGGAAUUCCUGGUGUAGCGGUGGAAUGCGCAGAUAUCAGGAGGAACACCGAUGGCGAAGGCAGAUCUCUGGGCCGUAACUGACGCUGAGGAGCGAAAGGGUGGGGAGCAAACAGGCUUAGAUACCCUGGUAGUCCACCCCGUAAACGUUGGGAACUAGUUGUGGGGUCCAUUCCACGGAUUCCGUGACGCAGCUAACGCAUUAAGUUCCCCGCCUGGGGAGUACGGCCGCAAGGCUAAAACUCAAAGGAAUUGACGGGGACCCGCACAAGCGGCGGAGCAUGCGGAUUAAUUCGAUGCAACGCGAAGAACCUUACCAAGGCUUGACAUACACCAGAACACCCUGGAAACAGGGGACUCUUUGGACACUGGUGAACAGGUGGUGCAUGGUUGUCGUCAGCUCGUGUCGUGAGAUGUUGGGUUAAGUCCCGCAACGAGCGCAACCCUCGUUCUAUGUUGCCAGCACGUAAUGGUGGGAACUCAUGGGAUACUGCCGGGGUCAACUCGGAGGAAGGUGGGGAUGACGUCAAAUCAUCAUGCCCCUUAUGUCUUGGGCUUCACGCAUGCUACAAUGGCCGGUACAAUGGGCAGCGAUACCGUGAGGUGGAGCGAAUCCCAAAAAGCCGGUCCCAGUUCGGAUUGAGGUCUGCAACUCGACCUCAUGAAGUCGGAGUCGCUAGUAAUCGCAGAUCAGCAACGCUGCGGUGAAUACGUUCCCGGGUCUUGUACACACCGCCCGUCAAGUCAUGAAAGUCGGUAACACCUGAA